rnacentral:lncRNA from 1 species
ACCCUCUCUCUUACACACACACUCACACAAUAAAAUUAGCAAGUGUGAGUCAUUGAUUGUGUGCGAGUCUGUAGAUGCUUAAAGAAAGUUAAAUAAACCUCCAUAUACAAUCAGCUUUCUAUCAUGAAUCUAUUGUAAGGUAGUUUUCUGUUGUAAGUGCAAGUUAGGAAGGGGAGUGCCAGUUAGGAAGGGAGGUGCUUCACCACGUCUGCCAGGUUAUAUAAACCGACGCGUGGCUGUGAAAAUCUCAGUGUGAAGCCGCUGUAGUGCCAUGGGACGGGACUUCGCAAUCUUCUUUGCCUCUCUGGCACUGUUCUCCUGCAUUAAUCUGCUGCCAGCUGUGGCCACCACGGAUCCUCCGUUUACAGGGACCCUCCAAGCAGAUGGUUCGCUGAAGUUUACCCUGCCGCCCUCUUUCUUCAUGGAGGUUCGCCACCACUCCUGUGACGCACAGUGGUUUGUAGACAGUGAGACGGUGGCUAUCAUAGACAAAGACGAAAUCAAAAGAAAGCCUUUUGUGAAACAGUUGACCAAUACUUCAAUCACCGUUGACACCUGCUCCCACACCGCCAGAUACUUCAUUGAAUGUCUUGACACGGGGUUCAGGAAGGACAUAGUCUACAUGUGUAAGUGUACUCCCUAUUGUUUUUAAUGUACUUUGAUAAUCUCACAUGAAAACAAUAUCUGAUUCUGUCAGCUAUAGCUGACGCUAGCUAGCAAACAAUUCUGUUGGUGCUCAACAUU